CCGAGUUUACAACUCCCAAACCCCUGUGAACAUACCUUUAUGUUGCCUCGGCGGAUCAGCCCGCGCCCCGUAAAACGGGACGGCCCGCCGCAGGAAACCCUAAACUCUGUUUUUAGUGGAACUUCUGAGUAUAAAAAGCAAAUAAAUCA
rnacentral:misc_RNA from 1 species